rnacentral:lncRNA from 1 species
UGAAACUAAGGUUGGCCUGUUUUGACUCAUCGUAAAAUAAGUAAUGUUUACCCACUUUGUCAGGUUGUUGAACAUAAUUGUAUACUUUUUUGUUAUUUAGACAUUGCUAAGAGAGUCAAACCUCAAACUAACAAGUACGCUAAAUGACAAGGAGAUCUCUAUUAGAACCAAAUCAAAUAGGCCAAACAAACUCACAACUGAGGACAAUUACAGCAAUUUGAAUCGGUUAUAAUCCAUGCAUAAAUUCUCCAGAUAUGUUUUACCCAACGAAAGCCCAUGAGUAAGCUAACAUUCACAUGAUAUGCUUAAGUUUAGCAGUAAAUAUUCUCAUUUAAUUCCUCCAGAAAACAUUGCUUCCAAAGUGAGAGAAAACACCUACUCAACAACCCAAACAUUACGGAAUAACAUGCAGCAUUCAAUUACAUAACGUGAAGGAACCUCCACUCCACAAGAUUACAAUAACCAAUCUCUUCCCUAAAUCAUUACACAUAUAUUUGUAUUCAUCACACAUGAUGUUUACUUAACCAAUGGAAGGUGAUUCGAAUACUUGAUACAAUUCUUGAAAUCUAAAGCACAGGCAUAGAAGAGUAAGAAGAAACACUACAACACCGCUCACCCAAUAACUUUCCCCGGAGACCACCAACUUAAAUUGAACUGGCUCAACAGAGACAAUUAACCCAACUCAAUACAACAAUCAAAAUUUACAGAAGCUACACUUUAUUGACUCCACAUGAUGACUAUAUACCUUCAAACAACUCAGUGAAUCUGCCAAGAGGGGAAGAGAGGGGUUUAGUUUCAAAUUUAUGGGAUAUUAGGAGGGCAACAAUAUUACUAUCUACAGUCUUGGUCCAAGAAUGAAUUAACAUUUCAUCUGUAACAUGUUAGUAUGCAUCUAGUAGGGGGAAAUGUGUUUUACAAAGUGUUUUCGGGACACUGCAAAUAUUAAUAUUUCUAAAUCUAAUUCUUUUAUUUUCUAUGGUAAAAUGGCAUUUAUAAGGUAUCCUAGAGCAUUUCAUGUAUGUUUCGUUAAAACUCAAAUUACAAAAUAUGUUUGCUAAGUACGUACCAAACCAUACAUGUCGAACAUAUAAUCCAUAGCCUUAUCCAAGUAUCUAGUGCUGAAUGCAUUUAGGAGAGUCGAUUUUAUAUACGUAUAGAGGCAUUUGAAAAAAAUAGAAAUUAAGCCCUUAAAAUAAAAAUCUCUUGCAAUUAUUUUUUAAGAAACAUACCUGGGUUUCAUGAUUCUAAUGUUGGAGAUUGAAAUCCACCCCUGGAGAGUUGAAGGUGCUGAAAUUAGAAAAUAAAAUGAGAGUGAUCAUCACGAUACCUAAAACAAUCAUGCCAUACAUUGAAAAAUAAAAAAUAUUAAAAUAAGAAUGGAUUAGGACACACCACAUUUGUUCGAAAAGAAAAUUUGAAAGACACAUUUUAAAAAAAACAUUGUAUAACAUGAUAAACUUUCCCUUCCUUGUGCAAUAAUACAUGACACUCCCAAUACAAUUUUAAGUUUGCAUUUCACGCUCUGUAUAUCUCUACAAACGUACCUCCUUGAUAAUUAUAUAAAAUUAUUAGCCAGUGAUUAAUUUUCACAUUUCAAAACAUCUAAAUAACUGAUAAAAAAUAAAAGUGAAAGGGUCACAUAGUACGAAAUAAUAAAGUUUAAAAAAUGUAAUAUUGAAAGGGCCAAAGUAAAAAAAAAUUAAACUACUUAAUACUAUUCUACAUAGAUAGAUAAGGAAAUUAGUGGCUUUGUAACAUAAUAGCAUGGGAGAUUUUGGUACCUAGGUUAGUUGGGACACGGGCUGGGGUUAUCAUUUGUAGAGUUUACUCCUCCUCUAUGUCAAAGAUGGCUUUUGACACAAAAGAAGGAUAUAAAAAUACAGAUCAUUAGAUUCAAUCUCAACAAACUACAAUAAUUAAUCUCUCAUUCCCUGUAACAUUCACAAUUAACGCCACAUUUUUUAACAUUCACACUAUGAUAUUUACUUAACAGAAUGACUAUAUAUCAAGAUGGUUGAUCAAUUCUUAGAAUCAAGCAUGUACAUAUAAGAGAAGACCCGACAACCUUAAAUAUAUUCAAACUCUUCGUGUAAACCUAUAUUCUUGACUCUGCAAGACGACUGUUACACCUUCAAACAACUCAGAAUAGCAUCUUUUCAAUGGAAGGAGGGAGAGAGAGAUUUCGGCCUUGCAACCUUUAUGAGGAAUAUUACAGGCGCUAAGCAAUAAUUCAUAUUGUCUAAUACUACGAGUCUUGGUUCAAGCCACAUGAAAUAGCACAUUUCAUUCGUCAUAAAAAGUAGUUUCGUAAAUAUAUCUAGUAAUCGCAAAAUGCGUGUUUUACAAAGGUUUUGGAACUUUGGGAAAUAUAUGAUAUUUCUAAAUACUAAUUCCUGUUAUAUUUUCUAUCUAAAUGAUGGCAUUUAUAGGUACUUAAGCUAGUGCAUUUCAAACGUGUGUUUCGUUAAUAACGUAGCAAAGUAUUAAAGCUAAUAUUGAUAAGACAUGAAUGUACGGCCGAACUUAAACAUGCCAGACAUAUCCCAUGGCCUUACUUCCUAAGUGUCUAGUAUUGGAUAUAUUUAGUGUAGAGUCCGCUUUUUUCCCCAUACGUACAGAGUAAUUUACCAACAAUAGAAAUUAAUGGUAUAUCCACGUAAAAUAAACAAAACAUCUUGCAUUAAUUUUUAAGAACCAUGGCGUGGAUCAUACUCAUCCCUCGAAUGUUGGAGAAACAGAAACACCUUGAUACAAACCAUUGAAGCCAAAUUGCGCCAUUGAAAGUCUACCCCUGGGGAGGUGAAGGUGCGAAUUAGAAAUUCAAUAGAAUAGUGACUAAUCAAAAAUGAAACAACGCAAUUUUUCAAGUUUGCAUUUGACCACUUUGUAUGUCUACAGAUUACUCUCGAUAGUUAUGUAAACUUAUUAAUUGUGAUUAAUUUUCACUUUCAAAAUAUCUAAAUAACUGAUAAAGAAUAAAAGUUAAAGGGCCACAUAGUACUAAAGAAUAAACCUGAAAAAAAAUGUAAUACUAAUAGGGCCAAAACAAAAAAAAAUUAAAAUACUUAAGUUGUCAAAUAGGACAAGUUUCAAUACCAUGUGCACAUUUUGGUUAAAAAUUGAAUUUGGGUUAUUUACUCGACUAAAAUUUACAAAAAUAUAAAAAUUUAAAAACUAAAUUUAGAAUCCUUAAACUUUAAAGGUCAAAGUAAAAUGGAUAAGAUUUUAAGGGUGAAAGAGCAAUUUACUCUUAUCGUAAUGCAAGUGAUCAUUGAUAAAUGCUUCCAGGUAAAUAAAAAGAGAAAAAAAAUUAAAUUUCAUACUAAUAUUCUACAAAGAUAGAUAGGAUAAGGAAAUGGAAUGAACAAAAAAUGAGAAGAUUAUGUACCUGGGAGGGAGUUGGAAGGGGGAAGUUAGGUAUAGAAUUCAUUCAUCCUCUCCUAUGUGUCAAAAAAGAUGGAUCAGUAUAUCAUGACUCUAGGAAUGUCCCGUAUGAGGGGCCAAUACUUGCCUUUGCCCUUUUCACACCGACGUUUUAAUAUCGGACAGUCUUGAACGCACAGUUCCCAAAGCGAUUGGGGCAGCCCUUGCUCUGGAAAGGACCCAAACUUGGGGCAGUUAGAAAUCGUCCGACUCACAUGUUGGGCAUCCUUGUUCUGGGUGGAUGUAAUUCAGCACAAUUCUGAUUGUCAGAUGUGAAGAGUCGGGGAAGGCCAAACCCUGCCUUUGGAACGGAUCUAGCUCUAGAGCAAUUCGAGAUGUAUAACACAUUGAAGAGAGGUGAGUUUUUUUGAAACUCCAUGGAACAUAGCGUCUGCCAGAUAUGGUAAUCCCUCAAAAGUCAGUUCUAUUAGAGGAGGUGGAAGGAGACUCCCUUCUAUAGGAAAGACCUGAAACGCAUCCACAUCUUUUUCACAUCAUGAUUGGAAUAUAAUUUUGAUUCUGUAAGAGAGGAGAUUUUUCGAAUGCCUGAAUCUUUUCUGUGAGGAUGCUGGAGUGGUGAUCGAGAAAGUAUAGGGUGAGGGGGGUGGGGGGGAAGGAGGAGGAGGAAGGGGGUGUGAGAGAGGAGAGUGUGGAGAGGGGGGGGGAGAUGGCGGGCCUAAUUGACGUAAACCAUCCAGAAACUUCAAGGAGAAGUGAAAAGUUGAUGUUGUUUCGCAAACGAUGAGGCAAAGGCAUCUAGUUGUUCAUAGGCAUGAGAUACUGAUUUCGUCUCAAUUGGUUUGAAGAUAAAACACCUUCCGGGAUGUCUCAGAGAAUUCAAAUUUUAUCACCAAUCCCUUGAGAUUUCUUGAGUAUUUUCAAAGCAUCGGGUAAGAAUCUUGAUUUUCUUUCUGCAAUCUGUUUUAAAAUAUUCCAAGAGACGGGACAUUGAGUUUCAUCCCCUCCUCUCGUCUACCGUGACUCCAGCAUUUUCACAACUCAAAUGUCAAUUUUCCUUUAGCGAAGGCGGAAGGCCCACCGCUUGGUGAUAUUAUGUAUUUGAGUGCUGGACAUUCUUCACGUUCAGAGACUUCACGAUAUAAUUAGGGGCGUCAUCCCACUCGGUAAGGGACUCCAAAGCACUGCAUCUCCAAAUCUCAAUUUCUGAGCGUAGAUGGCAAACCUUUCUGCUGGACAGAGACAGACUUGAACAAAAUGUGAUUUUCAUUUCAUCCAGGAAUGCGGAGGGUAUCAGCCAUCGUGGCAGACGCUUCUCUAGUUUCUCACAAUAUGAUAAUUUCAGAGACCAUCUUCAUCAUGAAGAUAGCCUUCAAUUUGUUUGUUGCUGCCCUUAUCUUCUCCUUCUUCUUCUUCAAAAACAACAGGAACAAGUUGGGGGCAAACCCAUAUCUGGAGGAACUUCGGAGGGCUGGGAGACAGUGCUCCAGCGUCACCCCCCACAUUCUGCCACAGUGUCGUAAGUUCAUUACAGUAGUUAAUCUUCAACUUUCGCUCCCCUUAGCUUUUUAAAAAACCAAUCUUAUGGCAAGAACCUGAGAUUUUGAAAUAUUUUGAAAGUUCAUGAUGUCAGUAGAACUAUAUGGUUAGAUGGCCAACAUUUUGCAACUCUCAUUGGACAUCACUAAAUGCUUGAUCACACAAGGUUGUCAGGAAUUGAAAACAUCACGAAUAUCCAAAGACCUCCCCAGCGAGCUAAACUGUUCAAAAGCUUGUUCCUCAUCUCAAGGAGCACAAUGGUGAAGGCAUUGACAUGGAAUAGCCGUCAAUGGAUUUGUGGUGAGUGAUUGAAGGAUAAGGUUCGAAACUUUAAGCAGCAACUUAGGACAGUUCUCAAUCACCAAAUCUCAUAAACCAGGGUGAAUAACUCGUUGGCAAUGUUCCCACAAAAGUUUUGGACAAUGUUUGUGAUAGCUAGUCAAAAAACAAAAAAAAAUACGACAAGUGAAAAGCUUCGACUUUUGUGUUCACCUAUGUAGGGGUACCACUUCUCCAGCCUGGCAUAUCCGUAAACCCAUAGUAAUCUUGAGUACUGGUAAUGGCUUGCUACUACAAACUAUGCCGCCCGUAGAACCUCACUGCCCAUUGCUUAUUCCAAUUACUUUAUAUCCUAUCCAGGAAAACGAUUUUUAAGAUGUGACAAGCAACCUGACGUUGUCUCAAGCGGACCGGUAAGGAACUGCAAUUACUUUACAAUCAACCUGAACUUUGCACACCAUAAAUAUGUUCUCUAGAAGAUAAGUGGUUUUAUCUCCUAUCCAAGUAGGAAAUUUUGGACCCAAUGGGUAGACGGAUGUGCAGCUUCCUUCAAGUUAGUGUGAGGUCGUAACACUUAAGCCGUCUGUUUUCAACUCCUUCAUUACGUAAGUCUUCUGAUCCUCACCCCCUACCAUUGACAACACUCUAGCUUUCCUUGCCAUUUUAAAUUCACCUUCCAAUGCAUCCGAGAUCGACCACUUCUGUAGUCCCGUUUAUCUCAAGCUUUCCCCUCCCGCCUAAAUUAGUCAAAUUCCCAUAUUCUCCUUAUCUUACCGAAAUCCAUUGCCUUUAGUAAUAAAAUGAAAUUAGGAUAGUUAUUUGUAGACUUUUCCAACUUAUCUAUUCCCAGUGGCAUUUCAUUCCAAGGAAUAUGCAUGGAGUAAUAUCGAAUGACGUAGGCUAAUUAGUUUUUCAAUGCUGUAGGAAACUUACUUCAGCCUUACACAUCCUUUUAGCAACAAACAGUUAUGCAAGAUUGUAGAGAUUCCCUAGUGAUUCAGGUAAUCUUUCCAACUAUAGUGUGGAAGGUUUAAGAUAGCGCAAGAUGUUUCAUUCCCAAUUAAUUGGUUGAAGUUCAUGGAGACAAUAUCUACUAAAACUGAGCCACCCUCAAGCAUUCAAUUUUGGCAACAGCUCGAGGGGAACAUUAGCUUGUCAAAGUUUCUCACAUAAUGCCUGUUAACGACAAUGGUAAGAAUGUUCGCAAAAUGUUCGGCGGCUUUGUACGAAGUUCUCAAACUUUUUGAUCCCAUCCACAAAGCCUCUGUUUAUAAGAUGAGUGUACGAGCUUUCUCUCUUCAGAUUUUUAUAUUGCUCCUUGUUAUCCUCCAAUCUAAAACAAAGUUUUUCCCUUGCAAAAAAUUACGAGCAAAUCAAUUGAUCAGAUCAAUGGCAUCACAAAUUUUGAGCCUUCCGUCUUACUAUGUCUAUCAACAAAAUAAAAUAAAAAGGGGUGUUGCUCGUGGCGGUGUGCACCUAGGCCGUAUCUGCGCGACAACAACUCACGAUAAGUAUCACCUCCUAGACUCAACAUGUCUCUCACACUGUGUACUGCAACGUCCCCCUCUAUCCGUCACCUUCUCGCGUGUCUGCUCAUCUACCUCGUCGAGCCAUGUGGCCCUCGCCGUCGUCAAGUCUCUCUUGUACUCUCCUCGUACUGUCGCAUACAUUCAUGGCGUCCGUCGUCCAUGUGUUAAAACCACCUCUUCAUUCAGUCCUAAAUUACGCAGUUAUUGCACAAUACUGCAAAGCAGUGGCUUCGCUAAGCGGAGGGGAGAUGAUGGUGUACUCUAACCUCAAGACUAAGGAUGUCACGCUAUCCCUCUAAUUCUCCAUAUUUUGCUAUUCAGUACAUUUUGCCCUCAAUUUCUCUGGACUCACACUUUAACAAAAGGCACCAGGGCCCUAGCAGCCAAAGGCAAACCCUCCUCAUUUUCCUUCACAAUUCUUGGCCAAUGAUUCCAAAUUUUUGGAUUUGUGUUCGUACCUAUUUCCGAAAUGCAGUUGUGCAAAUAUUGAUCCCCCACAUUCUCAUGUAAUAGACAUUCCAAUGCCUGAUAUUGACCGUUCCCAUCAUCAUGCAAAUCAUUCUUUAUCCCGUGUUUUGUAACAAUCACUUUACAUCCUAGGGCUCCCAUCACUGAAGGGCUCUUCAAAAUGGUUUCCAUUCUUGUAUUUUACAUCCCAAACAUCAUACCAAACAAUUAAAAACUAUUUUCCCAGCCAAAGCGUUCUUUAGAUUGAACUUGAACUUGAUCCAAGGUUCUUAUCCACUAUAAUCAGGCAUGGACCAUACCCACA